GAUCUGUACGCGGCCGUAGUCACAGGAAGCUGAGGUCUAUACCGGGUGCGCUUGAAGCUUCCAAUGCCGAACUUGAGUGAAACAUACCAGCACGAGAGCAUGAAAGAGAGACUGCUGCUGCUGGACUACUGCUGCUGUUGGGACCACUGUUGCUGCUGGGACUAUUGCUACUGAUGCUGGGACUAUUGCUACUGCUGCUGGGACUGCUGCCGAAUUGUUGCCUCCAAGCAGUUCUGUGGAAACUCUAGGUACAACUAUUACUACAUGGUCCAACGAUCAACUGUAAAGCUCAGAAAUAUUCAAAGGGAUCGGUAAACUUGCUUCAGCGGGAGAACCUGGACUGAUUCGAAAAAUUAAGCGAUUGCGACAUCGAUCGGGCAAGCAAGCCUACACAAUCGGAACGCUGCGUUCAUACACAUAUCCUGUUGUUACCAGGAAAUGAUUUAUUUAAAGAACAAACAAA